AAUCAACGCUGGCGGCGUGCCUCAGACAUGCAAGUCGAACGAUUAAAGCUCUCUUCGGAGAGUGUAUAGAGUGGCGCACGGGUGAGUAACACGUAAGUAAUCUACCCUCGAGUGGGGAAUAACGUCCGGAAACGGACGCUAAUACCGCAUAAUGCAGCGGCACCGCAAGGUGACAGUUGUUAAAGGAGAAAUUCGCUUGAGGAGGAGCUUGCGGCAGAUUAGCUUGUUGGUAAGGUAACGGCUUACCAAGGCUACGAUCUGUAACCGGUCUUAGAGGACGGUCGGUCACACUGACACUGAAUAACGGGUCAGACUCCUACGGGAGGCAGCAGUCGGGAAUUUUGGGCAAUGGGCGAAAGCCUGACCCAGCAACGCCGCGUGAAGGAUGAAGUAUUUCGGUAUGUAAACUUCGAAAGAAUAGGAAGAAUAAAUGACGGUACUAUUUAUAAGGUCCGGCUAACUACGUGCCAGCCGCCGCAGUAAU
rnacentral:rRNA from 1 species